CAUGGUCCUAAAACCUCCCACCCCCAACUCCCAGUCCCGUUCCCAAGAAGAUGGGGAGAAAGGGCACUGGCAACCCCAUGCAGUGAGAUCAGCCCCAGCCAGCCCAGGAGUCCCUGACAGGUGCCCAGGGCUGCCUCUCCAUGGUCCUAGAGCCCCUCGCUUAUGUGCUGAGCACCGACUGAGAAUGAAGAUGCUGGAGAAGGCUCGCCAGACCCUCGUCCCUUCCCACGCUCAAAAAUUCCAGGACUUUUCUUCCUAGAAGUUCAAGGCUGUAAACCACUUGACCCCAUAGGUGGGGGUGGGCAGGUAGGUUUGGAGUGGGGAUGGUGGCACUAUUUGUUUUCCAGUGACAAUUUCAUUUUUGGCCUGAAGUGUCCCAUAGGCACUGAGAGAACACACAGACAAGGCUGGGAGAGGCUGCAGCUCCUUGGGAGCCGUUUCUCCCACCCAGGCCCCUAAAGAGUGACUGUCACAAGCACCAGGGAUUGAGUCCUAUCACGGAUUUGCCACUGCCUGACUCUUUACUGGGAGUCUCUCGUUUCAUUCUCAGAACGGUCCUCUAGGGUGGUGGUAGCACUGCUCCAUUUUGCAGAUGAGAAAACUGAGUCUAUGAGGCGAAGUAACUUGCCCAAGGGUACACAGUUAAUACAAGGUAACAGGGCUGGCUACACA